AUUGAACGCUGGCGGCAGGCCUAACACAUGCAAGUCGAGCGGAUGAAGGAAGCUUGCGCCUGGAUUCCGCUGCGGGCGGGUGGGUAAUGCCUAGGAAUCUGCCUUGUCUUUGGGGAUAACGUCCGUAAAGGGGCGCUAAUACCACAUCCGUCCUGAGGUUGAAAGUGGGGGAUCAUCGGAGCUCGCGCUAUUUGCUGAGCCUAGGUCGUAUUAGCUAGUUGGUUGGGUAAAGGCUUACCAAGGCGACGAUCCGUAACUGCGCUGAGAGGCUGAUCGGCCACACUGGAACUGAGACACGGUCCAGACUCCUACGGGAGGCAGCAGUAGGGAAUAUUGCGCAAUGGGCGAAAGCCUGAUGGAGCAAUGCCGCGUGAGUGAUGAAGGUCUUCGGAUCGUAAAACUCUGUAAGUAGGGAAGAACAAAUGUGAAAGUAACUCUGCACGUCUUGACGGUACCUAAUGAGAAAGCAACGGCUAACUACGUG
rnacentral:rRNA from 1 species